GGGCGGGGCGACUAGGGGCGGCCCCGGGGGCAGGGGCGCAGACCGUCCGGCCUCCUGUGGAUUCGGCGCCCGACCCGCUGCCGCCGUGGGGGCGCGGCUGGGCCGGCUGGCUUGGGGGGCGGCCGGCUGCGCCCGCGCCCUUCGAGCUCUGAGUGCGGUGGCUCCACGAGAUCCAGUCCACGCUCCGCGAGCGGCGGCCAGAGCGCGCCCGGCAGCUGCUGCCGCUCCUGCGCCAGGACCUUGAGGGGACCCUCCUUACUGACAUCCUCUACAGAGAUGUGGCCUUCCUCAACCUGGUCGACCCCAUCUCCCAUGACCUGCUUGUGAACCGGGCCACCACCCCUGCCUCCACCUGGGACUCCACAGCUGCUGGGCUGGGACCCGAACCCCAGGCCUGCUGCGCCAGGUGACCCACCACCCGCCUGGCUCAUUGCUACUGACUUGUGAUGCUCUCAAGCACAUGGUAGUGGGCGAUGAAGGUCAAGGAGGACUCACAGGCCCCCAGAGAUCCAGUGCAAAUGCUCAGCCUGAGAUUAAGGGGACAGAAGGAGAAUGGACUCAUAGGAGGCCAGGAGGCCAGCCCCUGGCUAGAGGCUCAGCCUUCCCUCAGUGGGAGGAGCCCCAACACCCAUAGGGUAUGGACCCCAAAAUAAAGAGUGACACCCGC